AGCUGGAGUUGCGUAAGAACUCUACCCCAAGCUCUUGUGCCCUACCCUAUACCCACUUCGCUGUACUUAGUUUCGACACAUCAAGAUGCUGCUUUUUACUGGAGGUUCAAGAAUAUUUUUCAUUUUCGCCAUCAUCUUGGCUAUGGCCGUCAUUGGAGCAUCGGCAGGAGGUCGUCCGGAUCCUAAACCUGGAAACUGUCCCACUAAUUAUUACGACAGUGGCCCUGACGACGGAGACACCUGCUUUGCCGACUACCAGUGUCUAGGUGACUACAAGUGCUGUCUGGUGAGGACCGGUUCCGGAAGCCGAAGACGUUGCGUUCCUCCACGAUUCAAUUAAUACACAAGAUGUGAAGAACAAAAGGUGCCUUCAUUUAUGAGCUGAGAUGCCAGUUCAUCAGCUAAAGUAUGAUGAGAAUUUCAAAAAGAAGUUAUGAAUUUACGGCGUCUUUG